rnacentral:rRNA from 1 species
GACGAACGCUGGCGGCGUGCUUAACACAUGCAAGUCGAACGGAAAGGCCCUGCUUUUGUGGGGUGCUCGAGUGGCGAACGGGUGAGUAACACGUGAGUAACCUGCCCUUGACUUUGGAAUAACUUCAGGAAACUGGGGCUAAUACCGGAUAGGAGCUCCUGCUGCAUGGUGGGGGUUGGAACGUUUCGGCGGUUGGGGAUGGACUCGCGGCUUAUCAGCUUGUUGGUGGGGUAGUGGCUUACCAAGGCUUUGACGGGUAGCCGGCCUGAGAGGGUGACCGGCCACAUUGGGACUGAGAUACGGCCCAGACUCCUACGGGAGGCAGCAGUGGGGAAUAUUGCACAAUGGGCGGAAGCCUGAUGCAGCAACGCCGCGUGCGGGAUGACGGCCUUCGGGUUGUAAACCGCUUUCGCCUGUGACGAAGCGUGAGUGACGGUAAUGGGUAAAGAAGCACCGGCUAACUACGUG